rnacentral:rRNA from 1 species
CCUACGGGAGGCAGCAGCAAGGGAUUUUCCGCAAUGGGCGCAAGCCUGACGGAGCGACGCCGCGUGCGGGAUGACGUCCUUCGGGAUGUAAACCGCUUUUCGGGGGGAGGAGGACGGACAGUACCCUCGGAAGAAGCCCCGGCUAACUACGUGCCAGCAGCCGCGGUAAUACGUAGGGGGCGAGCGUUGUCCGGAAUUACUGGGCGUAAAGCGCGCGCAGGCGGUGGCAUGCGUCCGUGGUGAAAGCCCCCGGCUCAACCGGGGAGGGUCCGCGGAGACGGUGGCACUGGAGGGGGUCAGAGGGGGGUGGAAGGCCGGGUGGAGCGGUGAAAUGCGUAGAGAUCCGGCGGAACACCAGCGGUGGAGACGGCCCCCUGGGGCGACCCUGACGCUGAGGCGCGAAGGCCAGGGGAGCGAACGGGAUUAGACACCCCGGUAGUCCUGGCAGUAAACGAUGGGCGCUGGCUGGGGGCGGUUUGACCCCGUCGCUGGCCAAGCUAACGCGCAAGCGCCCCGCCUGGGGAGUACGGCCGCAAGGCUAAAACUCAAAGGAAUUGACGGGGGCCCGCACAAGCAGCGGAGCGUGUGGUUUAAUUCGACGCGACGCGCAGCACCUUACCAGGGCUUGACAUGGACCUGCAAAGGCUGGAAACAGCCCUUCCCUUGAGGGUGGUCCACAGAUGCUGCAUGGCUGUCGUCAGCUCGUGCCGUGAGGUGUUGGGUUAAGUCCCGCAACGAGCGCAACCCUCGGCGUCAGUUGGAUGUUUCUGGCGCGACUGCCGGCCGCAAGCCGGAGGAAGGUGAGGAUGACGUCAAGUCCGCAUGGCUCUGACGCCCUGGCCACACACACGCUACAUGGCGGCGACAGCGGGCGAUGCCACCCGCGAGGGGAGCCAUCCCAGAACGCGCUCAGUUUCGGGAUCGGGGGCUGCACUCGCCCCCGUGAAGCGGAGUGCUAGUACGCGGUCAGCACUACCGCGGUGAUACGUUUCCCGGG